rnacentral:rRNA from 1 species
UACGUAGGGGGCAAGCGUUGUCCGGAUUUAUUGGGCGUAAAGAGCGUGUAGGCGGCCAUGUAGGUCCGUUGUGUAAACUCGAGGCUCAACCUCGAGACGCCGAUGGAAACCAUGUGGCUAGAGUCCGGAAGAGGAGAGUGGAAUUCCUGGUGUAGCGGUGAAAUGCGCAGAUAUCAGGAAGAACACCCGUGGCUAAGGCGGCUCUCUAGUACGGUACUGACGCUGAGACGCGAAAGCGUGGGGAGCGAACGGG